rnacentral:rRNA from 1 species
UACGUAGGGCGCAAGCGUUGUCCGGAAUUAUUGGGCGUAAAGAGCUUGUAGGUGGCUUGUCGCGUCUGCCGUGAAAACCCGAGGCUCAACCUCGGGCGUGCGGUGGGUACGGGCAGGCUAGAGUGUGGUAGGGGAGACUGGAACUCCUGGUGUAGCGGUGAAAUGCGUAGAGAUCUGGAGGAAUACCGGUGGCGAAGGCAGGUCUCUGGGCCAUUACUGACACUGAGAAGCGAAAGCAUGGGGAGCGAACAG